UACGUAGGACCCAAGCGUUAUCCGGAUUUACUGGGCGUAAAGAGUUGCGUAGGUGGCUUGUUAAGCAAAUAGUGAAAUCAUCCCGCUCAACGGGGUUCCCAUUAUUUGAACUGGCAGGCUUGAGAGCGAGAGAGGUAGAUGGAAUUGCUAGUGUAGGAGUGAAAUCCGUAGAUAUUAGCAGGAACACCGAUGGCGUAGGCAGUCUACUGGCUCGUUUCUGACACUCAGGCACGAAAGCGUGGGGAGCAAACGGG
rnacentral:rRNA from 1 species